GGGGUUUUAGCUCAGUUGGUAGAGCGUUUGCGUGGCACGCAAGAGGUCAGCAGUUCGAGUCUGCUAAGCUCCACCA
rnacentral:tRNA from 1 species